UAUUUUUGCAACUUACUGCUCAGAUAUAUUGCAAUUUCAAGUAGAUAUUAGCACUCUACAUACCUUGAAGAGUAUCUAAGCCAAAUCUCGUUAGUAU
rnacentral:lncRNA from 1 species